rfam:Paenibacillus sp. VKM B-2647 B-2647_027, whole genome shotgun sequence.
GAGGCGGUAUCUUCUGGAACUGCACUCGAAGCUCGUCGAUAAUUCGCAAAACUGCAUAACGUAGUACUAAGCAAGAUUGUCGGAUUCUGCUCAGAGCCGUGAGGACCGAGACAGAAAG